ACUCCUACGGGAGGCAGCAGUGGGGAAUUUUGGACAAUGGGCGAAAGCCUGAUCCAGCAAUGCCGCGUGUGUGAAGAAGGCCUUCGGGUUGUAAAGCACUUUUGUCCGGAAAGAAAUCCUUGGCUCUAAUACAGUCGGGGGAUGACGGUACCGGAAGAAUAAGCACCGGCUAACUACGUGCCAGCAGCCGCGGUAAUACGUAGGGUGCGAGCGUUAAUCGGAAUUACUGGGCGUAAAGCGUGCGCAGGCGGUUUGCUAAGACCGAUGUGAAAUCCCCGGGCUCAACCUGGGAACUGCAUUGGUGACUGGCAGGCUAGAGUAUGGCAGAGGGGGGUAGAAUUCCACGUGUAGCAGUGAAAUGCGUAGAGUUGUGGAGGAAUACCGAUGGCGAAGGCAGCCCCCUGGGCCAAUACUGACGCUCAUGCACGAAAGCGUGGGGAGCAAACAGGAUUAGAAACCCCAGUAGUCCCAUGA
rnacentral:rRNA from 1 species